GACGAACGCUGGCGGCGUGCUUAACACAUGCAAGUCGAGCGGUAAGGCCCUUUCGGGGGUACGACGAGCGGCGAACGGGUGAGUAACACGUGGGUGACCUGCCCUCAGCUCUGGGAUAAGCCUGGGAAACUGGGUCUAAUACCGGAUAUGACUCCAUGACGCAUGUUGUGGGGUGGAAAGCUUUGUGCGGCUGGAGAUGGGCCCGCGGCCUAUCAGCUUGUU
rnacentral:rRNA from 1 species